GUUUGCUUGCUGCUUUCCUUACCGUUGCAUCGUCUGUGGGCGCGUCCACGCCACGAGUGGCCUCCGAGUGAAGACUUUGCUGUGUGGCGCAAGUUUCCCCACAGACGGCACUUUUCAAGUCGAGGAGGAACACCAGCUGACAAGCAUGCACAGAAGCAUGUUACGGGGCCAUGAAAGCAUAUGUCAGGAGGGCAGUACAGACGGACGAAGAUCAGCACAUCCACCUUGGUCAACAAACCUAUCCCUAAUCCUGCUAAGAAUGUUCUCCUCACCGCAGGAACCCCAUCUCUGCUGGCACAACAGGCCUCUGUCAAAAUGUG